GGUGUUCAGUACGCAGAGGGAGCCACAACAGUGAGACGCAUCUCGUGGACUUUUGUGUGUUUGUGCUUAUUUGUGUGUAAAUGCCUAUGAAACCACAUACAUAUUCAUACAUACAAACACUCACUCAUCUUCUGCUCACUAUCAUACCUGGAUGUAUACUGCCUCAUGUGGAUGCAAUAAAACAGUUCUUCAUCAAAUCUUUGGAUCAGCUGCAGUCUUGCUGACCGAAGACUUAGGCCAGACUUGUGUAAAGCCAGUAUACAGUUUCAUAAUAUUCCACAAUGAGGAAGUAAGAAAAGUGGCGUGAGCUUGGUGUGUGAGCAGGUGUUGCUCAUCGGUUAUCACAGGCAGUUCACAUCCUGCCUCAUUCACUCACCUCUGCAGCACUGGCUUGUCUCCGUCUCACCUCCAGCCGUACACCGGAACGCCAUUCCUCUGCAGCACCUGUUCUUCUCUGUCACUGCUCCAGCCACACACCACCUCCAGCAUCUGGACCCACUUCCUUCCCGGUCCUGUUCUUCCACAGUCUGUUCCCUGCUCUUCCCGGUACCCAAUCAUAGUUAGUUUCUAGUAAUCGUAGUUUUGUGUCAGCUUGAGCUGUUUCACGAAUUCCUGUUAAUAGUGUUUUCUGAUUCCAUGACUACUCUCCUCUAGUUUAGUGUUUAUUGUUCUGGCCACAUACAGAUUUAGUCGGUUAUUGGUUGAGUAGUCCUUUUGAUUUAGUCUUUUCUGCCACUGUUACAGUGUUUGGGCUAUGACAGUUUCCUCUGGUUAUCUUAUGUAGUUUAGCUUACCUGUUAUUUAGCCUCCCACCAUUAGCGGUCUUCCUUGAGUUAUAGAUAGCUUUGUUUUGCUUAAGUAAUUUCUCCUGUAAUUGAAUCUCUCUCCUAAUAAAUAUUAUUGUAUUGCAUUCUCUGUGGACUGGUUGUGAUUGCCUGCACGUGAGUCUCUGCUUCUGGAGCAUAACAUGUUUACUGUCCCCUCUCUCAAGUAUAAUAUGGAAACAUGGAAUCACACAUAAGUACAGAAUUCACUGAGUGUCCACUUUAUCAGGUUCACCUGUUCAAUUGCUUGUUAAUCAGCCAAUCACAUGGCAGCAACUCAGUGCAUUUAGGCCUGUAGACAUGAUCCAGACGACCUGCUGAAGUUCAAACUGAGCAUCAGAAUGGGGAAGAAAGAAGAUUGAAGUGACUUUAAAUGUGGCAUGGUUGUUGGUACCAGAUGGGCUGGUCUGACUAUUUCAGAAACAAAGAUUUUCACACACAAACAUCUCUAGGGCUUACAGAGAGUGGUCCAAAAAGAGAAGAUAUCCAGUGAGCAGUAGUUCUCUGGGAGAAAAUGCCUUGUUGAUGGCAGAGUUCAGAGGAGAAUGGAGAUUGGUUCCAGGUAAUAGGAAGACAACAGUGAUUCAGAUAACCACUGGUUACAACCAAGGUAUGCAGAAGAUCAACUCUGAACACACAACAUGUCAAACUUUGAAGCAGACCAGCUAUAUCAGCAAAAGACCAUAGUAGUAACUCCUGAUUGUUACUGUUAGCUAGAGUCUGGAUUUCAGCUGCAACAUUCAGAUGGU
ensembl:lncRNA